GGCAUUGCAUUGUUUUAGACAGUAGCGCCUGGAACAAUACCACUCUUAGUAUUUUAGACUUCCAAACAACAAUUGGAAUUGGAUAAAUGCUUUCAGCUGGGAGCACUUUCUUAAUACCUUUGUAGGUAAUAGGAUUCCCUAUUUGUGUGGGAUGACAGAUGGACAGUGGGAUGGACAGACUGCCUACCCGUUGUGGAAUCUACCAGAAAAUGAAGUUUUUGAGUUCGUUUGUGGUCCGUCUAAAAGAAAUUCUGCUAAAAUGCGAAAUCAGGAAAAUCGAAUAGAGUGAUACUUAAUGAAGUGUUUAUAACGAUAAAUAUGACGGCUCGUCAAAGGUUCUACAGCAGAAUGAAUGAGACCCUUAGGUGCCCUGGACUUUGUUUUCGACAAACAGGGUCUGAUUCUGUCCAUUCUGAAGAUAGAAGAGAUGAACCGUCGGUGGCAUUGACUGGAGAGGUGAACUAAUUGUCCCAAGUUCACACAGAUUGUAAGCAGCAGAGCUGUGUUUGAACUUGUUUUCUGCAAGCAAUAUCAUGCUAUUUCUGUCCCAUUGUCUUAAUUGACUGUGGAAUUGUAUUCAUAUUUGUCUGAGCUGAAGGGAGAUGGAGCUACAAAACUGGACAGACGCAAUGGUUCUAAGUGGUGCUGGGAAGGGAUGAAGAGGAAGCAGGUACGUUGGGAUAUAUAAGGAUCAAAUGGAGUAAUGUAAAAAAAGGACUUUGCAUUUAUUGAGCACUUAUUUUUCCCCUGUGCUAAUUACACACACUAUUCCUUUAAAACAGUUCUUUACCUCAAGGGAUAGGUUUUACAUAUAAGGAAAUGAAAGCUCAGAGGUAAUUUGUCUUAAGUAAUUUGUCUAAAGCGCACAGGUUUUAAGUUGUAGGGUUCAAACCAAAGACAGUGGCCAUUAAAAAUACAUAUUUUCAGUAUCUGGGCAAUGUUGACAUAACAACAUAUAUUAAAUUUGAAAGCCUCGUGAACUGUUUUUGUCCCAAAUUGGCUUUCUGUCUUCGGCUAAAAAUCAACCGUGACAGCACCAAAUGCUGGCGAAGAUGCGGGGAAACUGAUCACAAAGACGCUGCUGGUGGGAAUGUAAAAUGGCACAGCCAGUCUGGGAGAGAGUUUGGCAGUUUCUUCAAAAGUAAAUGUGCAGCUAUCAUGUGAUUCAGCAAUUGACCCCUGAACAUUUAUCCCAGAUUGAUGAAGACUUCAGUUCACAGAGAAACCUGUACGUGAGAGCUUAUGGCUGCUUGUUCAUGACAGCCCCAAACUGAGAACAACUCAGAGGUCCUUCAAGGGAUAAACAAACGUAACCAUUCCGUUAACAGUGAAGCAUGUAGGGCUCAUCGUGGAACAUCCAUAGCAUGGAAUACUAUUCAGCAACAAAAAAGGAAUAACUUAUUGGUAAGGGCAACAACCCAAAUGGAUCUCCAGAGAAUUACACCAGGUUAAAAAAAAAAAAAAGGCCACCACAAAAGGUUAUACCCUGUAUGGGUCCAUUUCCAUAACAUUCUUGAAAUGACCAAGUUUUAGAAAUGGAGAAAAGAUUAAUGGUUUACUAGAGGUUAAGCAGCAGUGGGAGUUGCAGGAAGUGGGUGCAGCUAAAGAAAGGCAACAAGAGGGAUCCUUGUGGUUAUGCAAAUGUUCUGUAUCUUAGCCAUAUUAAUGUCGAUAUCCCGGUUGUGAUAUUUUACUAUAAUUUUGCAUGUUACCAUAGGGAGAAGCUGGGUAAAGGGAGCAAGGGGUCUCUAUUAUUUGUUACAACUGCAUGAGAAUCUAUAAUUACCUCAAAAUAAAAAGCUUAAUAAGAAAGUCGGCUGACCUUCAGUGGCUUCCAGAACUGACCUGAAAAUAGGGGAAAGUUGGGAUUGAGAAUGGGAGUUGUGAACUUUAAGAAUUAUUUUCAGUGCACCACUCAAACGGGGUCUGAAUUUUUUCCUUCUGAUCUUUAUUAUGGAUUAUCAUGCAAUUCUUACUGCUAUUUUGGGGAAGAAAAAAAUGUCGCCUCUUCAUCGUAGGACUUCUAGUUUGCAAACCAUUGUUAUUUUUUUUAGUCCAUCAGCUGUCUCACUUACAUAGUAGAAUAUGAAACUAGAUGGGCGCCUGGCUGGCUCAGUCAGAACAGCAUGGACCUCUUGGU